ACCGGUCCGGUUUUCAAAACUAGGAAAGGAGAGGAAAGGAGAAGCCAGCCAAAGCUAACCCUAGCCCAAAAAUCGAAGAGCGGAGAAGAGGAAUGGAAAGGGGCGGCGCACAGGCCGCGUCGUUGUCGACAGCUCUGGGGAGCAUCAUAGCCUUGGUGGAAGAUCCAAUCCAGGAGGGAACAGUGAUUCAGAGCGGCAUGGCGCAAGUGUUCGAAUCUUGGAAGGCUCUACGGAACGGAAUCUUGGGCGACGGUAAACCAUCCGAGGAGAAGAGAAGAAGGAUGGAGGACGGCAGAGCACAAGGGGUCGUAUCGUCGGGGGCCGAACGGAGCAGAAGAACUUCCGGCGACGGCUUCACCGAUGCCGAGCUCCUUGACGACUGCAAGCAUCGUGAUGGAUCCAUCUACAGACGCACCGAUUAUUUCGGUAGACGUUAUCGUCUCCAUGAUAUCAGCGGGACUUGUUUGGAGCCAAUGAUCUUGUCGCAGCCAUUCACCUCUUGCCAGCCGAACUGGAAGGAUUGCAAAACACAUUCCUCUUUCCCCAUGCUGCAGGCUGUGGGGCUUCAAUUAAUGAAAACAGAGAAGUAAUGUACUCCUAACUGAUUACUGGAAUGUACUUGAAUGCAAUGUUAUCAGCAAUGUUUCGAUGACUUUGUUUUUCCAUUAGGUUUUGCUAUUUGUUUGGUAUUAAGUACUGGCAUGGUUGGUUGGUCUCACUGGGUGCGCUAAUAAGAACCUAACGCAUACUCUCUCCGUUCCUAAAUUGUUGUUGUUGUUGUUGCUGUUGUUGUUGUUUCAGUUCAAAUUUGAUGAACUAAAACCACAACAAGAAUUUAGUGUCGGAGGGAGUAGUUUGCAUUAUUCAGAACAUAUAUGCAUGGACCAUGGGAUAGCCUCUCUGUACUCAGUAACCAUAGCAGCAAAUUAGUAUAUCAAGUAGAAUACUGGCCAUAAUUAAUAAUUGUCCAUUUCAAUUGACAACAUAUUGACACACAACGGCGCGAGGAGCGCUCCUCAAUCAUGGGGGUGUACCUGUUGGCGCCGGCGUACCGGAUGCCGAAAUCCUCCUGCCAAGCAUCGCCAAACAACUCCAGGUAGAUGGCUGUAGGUCUCCUUGUGCUGCGUGUCCUCGAUCUGGGUUCAUCCAUUUGCUUCGCUGCAAACACAAAAAGACGGGUGGGCCAAUA